rnacentral:lncRNA from 1 species
UAUUUAUACCUAUAACUGUCAGAACAGUAGAAGUCUCCUUGAACACUGACAAUUCUAAUAUACCAUACCAAUAAAACAGUAGAUGUCUUCUAAAGAACACUAACAAGUCUCAUAUACCAUACCACAAGAAACAAUAGAUGUCUCCAAAUAAAUGCUACCAAUUUCUAUAUACCAUACCACAUAGAAAUGUAAAUGUCUUCUAAAGUACAUUAAUAAGUCUCAUGUACCAUACCACAUAGAACAAGUAGAAGUCUCCACCAAAACCUAAACAAGUCUCAUAUACCAUACCACAAGAACAGUUGAUGUGUCCUUAUAGACAAUAACUAGUCUCAUGCAUCAUACCACAUUUAUCUAUACUACUAUAGAUACUUAGAGUAGAAAAGGAAAUGUUCAACUAGGAUGGAACAUUUAUCCUGCCGUACUGGAUACUUGAUAUCAUACGCAAAACUUAUAAUAACUAUUCUAAUUUUAUUAACAAACUAAUAUACUAAGACAC